rnacentral:rRNA from 1 species
AUUGAACGCUGGCGGCAGGACUAACACAUGCAAGUCGAGCGGAGCGGCGGACGGGUGAGUAAUGCCUAGGAAUCUGCAUGGUAGUGGGGGAUAACGUCCGGAAACGGGGGCUAAUACAGCAUACUAUCAGAUGAGCCUAGGUCGGAUUAGCUAGUGUGUGGGGUAAAGGCCUACCAAGGCGACGAUCCGUAACUGGUCUGAGAGGAUGAUCAGUCACACUGGAACUGAGCCACGGUCCAGACUACUACGGUAGGCAGCAGUGGGGAAUAUUGGACAAUUGGCGAAAGCCUGAUCCAGCCAUGCCGCGUGUGUGAAGAAGUUCUUCGGAUUGUAAAGCACUUUAAGUUGGGAGGCGUUACCAACAGAAUAAGCACCGGCUAACUUCGUGCCAGCAGCCGCGGUAAUUC